rnacentral:rRNA from 1 species
CAGUCGCCGCGGUAAUACGAAGGGGGCUAGCGUUGUUCGGAUUUACUGGGCGUAAAGCGCACGUAGGCGGAUCGAUCAGUCAGGGGUGAAAUCCCAGAGCUCAACUCUGGAACUGCCUUUGAUACUGUCGAUCUGGAGUAUGGAAGAGGUGAGUGGAAUUCCGAGUGUAGAGGUGAAAUUCGUAGAUAUUCGGAGGAACACCAGUGGCGAAGGCGGCUCACUGGUCCAUUACUGACGCUGAGGUGCGAAAGCGUGGGGAGCAAACAGGAUUAGAUACCCCUGUAGUCCCUGUCUCUUAUAC